GACGAACGCUGGCGGCGUGCUUAACACAUGCAAGUCGAACGGUAAGGCUCCAGCUUGCUGGGGUACACGAGUGGCGAACGGGUGAGUAACACGUGGGUGACCUGCCCUGCACUUCGGGAUAAGCCUGGGAAACUGGGUCUAAUACCGGAUAGGACCGCACCGUGAGGGUGUGGUGGAAAGUUUUUUCGGUGUGGGAUGGGCCCGCGGCCCAUCAGCUUGUUGGUGGGGUAAUGGCCUACCAAGGCGGCGACGGGUAGCCGGCCUGAGAGGGUGGACGGCCAAAUUGGGACUGAGACACGGCCCAGACUCCUACGGGAGGCAGCAGUGGGGAAUAUUGCACAAUGGGCGGAAGCCUGAUGCAGCGACGCCGCGUGGGGGAUGACGGCCUUCGGGUUGUAAACUCCUUUCACCAUCGACGAAGGGUUUCUGACGGUAGAUGGAGAAGAAGCACCGGCUAACUACGUGCCAGCAGCCGCUGUAA
rnacentral:rRNA from 1 species